rnacentral:pre_miRNA from 1 species
AGCCUUCUGUAUCCCUGCUGAGAUUUCGUCACACACCAGACCACAAGGGCUGAUGACACUCCCAAGUUACGUUAAGCG